CUGGCAAGCUUCCACAGUGAGGCACAGUUGAAAGGGGCAAUCAGGACCCAAGCCGGUCGGCGGGAUCCGUAUUGGAUUGGCCUCUCCAGACCAAGUAAGGACAGUGGCUAUACCUGGGUGGACAGGACAGCAGUGGACUUUGUGUAUUGGGCUGCUGGAGAACCCAAUGACCACAAUGGACAAGAGAGUUGCGUAGAACUGGACAGGUCAAGCGGCAGGUGGUACGAUUCGAACUGCUACGCAAGGAGAAGUAUUAUUUGCCAGUUUCGAAAAGGAGAUCCGAUAUACA